GGACUGCUGUGUACCAAAGGACCGAGGUCCCCCAUUGCACAGCCCCCUUCAGAUACUAUCCCACAGACCUUCUCUUGGGACUGGGAGGUGAGGCAGUGCCUGCCGUUUUAAGCCUUGAGGUCCUUUCCAAAAAUACAUGCAAGUGUUCUCCUAAAUGCUGUGAAACUGGCCCGAGCCUGUGAGGAUUUGGGAUUGUGCACAAACCAGCCUGUCUGUCUUGAUGGAGCCAAGGAGAUCUGUACACAUUCUGCGUGCAGGGUUUCAGGUGCGAGAAUCUCGUCUUCAGUCUGCAGACCGACUCCAUGCAAAAAGAAUAUGGCUUAUUAGAUGGUGGUAUCCAUUCAGUGAUAUGUCAUGAAGUAGCAAAUGCCAAAGUGUCUGUAUACCUGUAUAUGGACAGAAGCAGUUCUUCUGCAAUAGCCAUCAGCUGAAAGGAGGAACCAGCUCAGUCCCAGGAAAUACAGACAAAAAUGCACACAAGUCUCUGGCAGCAAUACCUGAGAAAGCUUUAUAGUGAAAAAGCAUUUGUGUUUCUUCCUGAAAACAAAA